rnacentral:tRNA from 1 species
GAGGGUAUAGCUCAGUGGUAGAGCGCUUGCUUAGCACGCACAAGGUCCUGGAUUCAAUCCCUGGUAUCUGCA